CUGUUAGUCCUAAACACUGUUAAAUUGAAUAAUUGGUCAGAUCUGGAAAGAAGCAGCCAAAUCAAUCGAUACAGGUGUUUUGAUAUAGCUAACAGAAUC
rfam:Buchnera aphidicola str. Sg (Schizaphis graminum), complete genome.